AAAGGCAGUGAACAUUUAUACCUGUUUUGCCAAACCAGUGAUCUGCUGCAAAUCACCAGCAGCACCAGUAGUCACUUCAGGUUCACCAAAGAUCACUUCUUCUGCAGCUCUUCCACCGAGUCCACCAACAAUUCUAGCAAAGAGUUGCUGCUUGGAUAUUAAGGUUGGAUCAUCUGCAGGAAUGAACCAGGUCAAACCUUUUGCCUGACCACGUGGAAUUAGAGUGACCUUUUGGACAGGAUCAUGCCCUGGAGUGAGAGUUCUGCAUGUCAAAGAACACANUGACAAGGUUAGAAAUGAGACCAUUCGGGAGAAGCUAGAGGUGGCUCCGAUGGCUGAUAAGAUGAGAGAAGCGAGACUGCGAUGGUUUGUACAUGUGUAGAGAAGGAGUACCAAUGCUCCUAUUAGGAGGUGCGAGAGGUUGUUUUUAGGAGCUACACGGAAAGGUAGAGGUAAACCGAAGAAGUAAUGGGGGGAGGUGAUCAAACAUGAUAUGGUGGAACUUGAUCUCACUGGGGACAUGACCCUAGAUAGAAAGAAGUGGAGGUCGCGAAUUAGAGUAGUAGGCUAAUUGGUUAGUAGGGUUAGGUGGUUAUCUAGUCAUGGGGUAUAGUAGGGUAGAUGAGUAGUAGUGUUUUAUAACAUGUGUUGUCAUUAUUUGUUGUUUAUGUGUUAAUUGUAUCAUAUUUACGUAUUGUCAUGUGCUUUUGGUUAUUAGUCGUUUUUUGUUGUUCCCUUUCUUUUACUUUUUGUCAUAUCUAGUUUAUUCUGCUUAUGGGUUUUUGAGACGAGGGUUCCUAGGAAACAACCUCUCUACUUCUAUGAGGUAGUGGUAAGGUCUGCGUACAUUCUACCCUUCCCAGACCACACUUGUGGAUUCCACUGGGUAUGUUGUUGCUGUUUAAGACCAAAAGUUCAAAAAAUCUUUCUUUCUUGAUUCUGUGUCAAGUCAAACUACACCACAUAAAUUGAAACCGUGGAAGUAAUUGUAUUGCUCAUUGCUCAUUAUCUCUAUAAUCUUUUGAAGGAAAGGGGGGAGUAGAGGUUAAUUCAAACCAAUCAAUCUGUAGAUUUCUAGCCUCCACAGAUUACCUCAACACAUAUUCCAUUCCAGAAUACUUGACAAAACAAAAAAAAGGCAGUGAACAUUUAUACCUGUUUUGCCAAACCAGUGAUCUGCUGCAAAUCACCAGCAGCACCAGUAGUCACUUCAGGUUCACCAAAGAUCACUUCUUCUGCAGCUCUUCCACCGAGUCCACCAACAAUUCUAGCAAAGAGUUGCUGCUUGGAUAUUAAGGUUGGAUCAUCUGCAGGAAUGAACCAGGUCAAACCUUUUGCCUGACCACGUGGAAUUAGAGUGACCUUUUGGACAGGAUCAUGCCCUGGAGUGAGAGUUC
rnacentral:lncRNA from 1 species